rnacentral:lncRNA from 1 species
UUCAUCACAUCAAUCCAAAUAUACAAAACAAACCAUAUUUCCAAUAUGCACGUCAAAUCACAAUUAAUAAACAUAGAUCGAUGCUAAAAAUAAAAAUAACACUUCAAUAGAAAGCACAUUUAAUAAACAAGUAUAACUCAAUAUGGUGCCACCAAUACAUAUAUCGAGACACACGUCAACCGAGAACGACACGUCAUUGUGAUAAGCUAACUAAGUUCCAUCAAGCCUCAACAACAAACUAGAGAUAAACGACACUCUAGAGUAUAGCACGUUGACUAGAACGUCAACCGUCGAUAAGGUAAGUCCAUUAAGAUCAACAAUCUAAGGUUAUUCAAUCCGGAAGAUCCGCACAUCGGAUUUCCAAUCCGUAAGUUCUCAAAGGUCCAACAAUUGAUAACUAGGGUGCUCACAAAAUUGUACGACGAUCCACGAUCGAAUUGUCGUCAAUACAAACAAGUGGUGGUCCAAUUUGAUCACCACAACAAACAAUUGAAUUUCAGGAAACCGAGCUAGACGUAGGUUCAUAGGGUCACUAGAAGGUAUUUGGAACUUAGACAACACUCGUGGACGGUUCCACGCACCUCUACACGCGGUGGUAGCCAAGGUGGAGGGUUUUGAAAAUCUGAAUUUUCAACAUUAACUAAAUAAGCUCAAAUUUACGUGGUAGCUAAAGCUCAACAAGGGAAACACUUUUCAAAACUCUAAAAUGAAUAUGAAAGUACGAACCAAGCAUACCAACUUGAAGAUUAUGAAGAGUAGAUGAAGUUUCAUACCUCACUCGAAGGAAAUGGUUGCCGGAAUCACCGGAAAAAUGACAAAAUCGCCGGAAACCCACGGAACUUUGCUGUCUAGAACUAGAAAAAUGGAUUAAAAAAAUUGGGAAAUCUAACACUACAGAGAUGUAGGGUUCGUCAAGAGUUUUUCAUGGACACCAAGAUCACCCAAAACGAAGAUCGGAUGAAGGAGAUACAAGCGAGUCAAGUUUGUGGGUUAACGAAUCAAAUUCUCCCCCAAAAUGAGUUAGCAGCAGCCCCCCCCUCCCCCCCCUUUUUUUUUUUUAAGAAACCUUCCCCCUUUUUAAUUUGAUUGGUCAUCUGUUCAACCUUUACUUCUGAUUGGCCACAAAAGCACAUACCUCUUUGGGUUUUUUCCCUCAAAGUGAGAGUUUAAAUAAUUUCUAAAAUUUAUAUUUUAGUAACACAACUUCAAACGUCCGUAACUAUACCGUUAUAAUCCGGACUCGCAAAUGGAUUUCGCCUAUGCAUUCGUGGUUUCGAGAUCUAUUCGAAAAUAUAAAUUGUAACCUCUAAAGGUCUACGAAUUUUAAAUAAUUACUGAUCAAAAUUCAAACUUCGUAAUUAGUUUAAUUAAAAUCUAAAGUUAAUAUAAAUUUCCAAAAAUAAUAUAAAUUCUCCUUGAUACCAAUACAUAGUUUGCAAUAGUGAAAUCCAGGAACAGAAUUUCACACAUUUCCACCCAAAAGAUUUCAAACUUGACAGUCCAGAAAAUCAGAGCACCUUUUGAUAAUCCUAUCUUUACAGGUUUGCUUGCUCGCUGCAUCAAUGAAACCGAUAUAUCUGUUAGUCCCAUUACACCUACCAGAAGAUUACAGUUAUGUCGCAAAUGAGAGAAGUGAGAGAAAAGCAUCAUCCAGGAUUUACCUCGUCAUGCAGGAGAAUCAUACAUAUCCACCCCAAGUAGUUCCACAUUAUCAGACUACAAAUAAUUCACUCCCCUCGCCGCUCUCCUGUAAUUUCAUCGGAAUUAGACUCUGAAACUCUAAUUUAAGCUGGAAUAUUGCUGAGGACAAUCAAUUUAAUAAUAAAUAAAUAAAAGUACCUGGCUUUUGUCUUGAGAGUUGAGAGUUGAGAGUUGGAGAGAGUGAAAUGAAAGCUCAUAUGAUGGUGAUUUCAUCAUCUAUGUUUAUGCAAGGAAUGCGAGCUAUGUUUCUCCAAUCUUUUCCCUUCUUGUUCCGAUACUUCUUCUUCAGAGAAGGACAACCCUCGAUGCUCAGAUAAGAAAGAGAUGCCGGCAAACCCUCUUUUGGCAGGAAUUCGAGACUCUGGCAGCCUGAAAUUUCUAGCUUUUGAAGAGAAGUAAGGUGCUCAAGUCCCUUUCCGUCCAAAGAUUUCAGAUUCCAUACACCACAGAUUUCGAGAUGGUGAAGAGUGGCAGGGAGCAGCUGUUCAUUGAGCAACGUCUCCACCAGAUCCUUGCUUACUCCGACGAUCCCAAAUGAUUGUAGGUUGGGAGGCAAACCCCCUUGUGCAAAUGACACCACAUUUGGAAGAUUGGCUAUCCCCAAAUCUUGAAGGGCGGUGAGGGUGUGCAUGCGGUCCGGCAACAACUUCAAAUUGUCACAGUAUAAGACUUGAAAGGAAGUGAGGUUGGGAGUGGGCAAUCCCCCGUCGGGAAAAGAGACAAGAUUUUGACAUCCAUUAAUAUCCAGGGAGUUGAGAUGGCUGAGAUUUUCAUCUGCUCCUCCUUCAACUGAAAGAGAUUCCAGAUUCUCACAAUUACCGAUAGAAAGAGAUGAAAGGUUGGGGAAAAUGCCCAAAGGGAACGACCUCAGAGAAUCACAGCUGUCGGAUAGACUCAAAGACUGAAGGGAAGUCAAUGUGGCCAUCAUCUCACCUGAUAGGAAUUCUAAUUUCUUGCAAUUUUCUAUACCGAGUGACGUCAGCGUGGUGGGCAGACCAUUUGUAGGGAACGACAAGAGUGAGGAACAUCCCCAUAAUGUCAAACUUUGAAGACGAUUGCUGUUGUGCAUCAUUUGCGGCAACCAUUUGCUUCCACCAACACUACCAAUACGGAGCAUCUGAAGCGAUGGCAGCGUCUCCGUCGACUCUAGUAAUAAUGAGAGACCCGGGCAUCCCUUUAUUGUCAGUUCUUUAAGAGAUUCCCGUAAGGAUUCCGCGUUCAGGGUAUUACUGGCCCUGUUUUCAUGUAGAACCUCACAUGCCAAGACCUGAAGUAUUUUCAAGGAAGGAAGACGAAUGGGCAUGUUUCCUCUCAGCUUCGGACAUGAGAAUAACCUCAGCUCCUCAAGACGAGGAAAGUCUGGACUUUCACCUCCACUUGGACUUGGCUGCCAUUCCUCCCACUCUGGCAUCUCCCAAAACUCUAACUUCUCUAAACAUUGAAAUGGUUGAUUUCCGCCGUACAACUCAACACCAACACUCUUAACAACUUUCAUCCUUUCUACGUAGAGCUCUUUCAGAGCAGGUAGCUGACCAACUGGUGGCAAUGAACUGCAAUUACCACAGUCACUGAGACGCAUCACUUGUAAGUUGGAGAAGGACGAGUCUCCCACCCAAUUCGGGAAACUGAUUCCGCCAUAACACCUGAUGGUUAGCUUCACCAAAUUUACCGAAGGUUGAAGUCUUUCGAGCACAUAUCUCUCUUUUACGGAAUCAUUGGAAACCACACGACCCCAUGACAACUCUACCUCGUUGAGAUCUUUCUUAUCCUCCAGCAAGGCAUCAAUAGCACCGACUACAUUUUGCAGAUUCAAGAUAGAAAUUUUUCUUCCAAGGUGCGACAACUCCCUCAAUUCUGCAAUGCUUGACCCAGAAGAUUUCCCCAACACAAAAGCUGUCAGUGUUCUCAAACUUUUUAGUCUACCCAUAUGCACAGGCAUCUCUUUUAUGUUAGUUCCACCAAUAUCAAGAUGACGCAAAUGAAUCAAUUUCCUCAUGUCUGCAGGCAAUUCAACAAGAGAAGAACAACCGAACAACAACAGAGUUUGUAAAUUGUAGAGGGUACACACUGUAUCUGGUAACCUUUUAAUUGUCGUAUAAGAGAGAUCAAUGUAGCGCAAGUGUAUGUGGUUACCAAUGGAAUCAGGUACGUGAGUGAUGUUUUUGUAUCUUGACAAUGAAAAUGCUCGUAAAUAUUUUUGUGCUGGUAGUAAAUCAUCUAGAACCUUGUUGCUUACAUAUUCAUGAUCCCAACGGUAAUAUGGUGCUAAAGACGCUGGAAAGAAGGUACGCAAACACUUGACUCCUUCUAGUGGCUCAAAUUUUGGAGAUGUAUCAAAUUUUCCUCGCAUAUACGACAAGUGGCGAACUCUUUUAGGAACUUCAUGUGAAUUUUUCUGAUCCAACCUUAAACAAAACUCUCCAGACACAAACAUAGCCAAGUCAUUGAUAAGAUCAUGCAUUGUGAAACUUGGUUGAUCCAAUCUUGGUCUUUGAAAUAGUGACCGCGAUAACAGUUCGUCAAAGUAUCUUUCACCAACCUCCUCCAUAGCUUUCUCGUUCUUUGCAUUAGGAAUUAAGCCUUCUGCCAUCCAUAGUGGAAUUACAUUCUCUUUUUCAAAUUCAUAGUCUUUUGGAAAAAUUGAGCAAUAAGCAAAGCAUCGUUUCAAGUAAGUUGGAAGAUAGUGGUAGCUCAAUCUUAGAGAAGGAAGAACACUAUCAGCAUGCGGUAGAUCCCAAAGAUUGCUAUUCAAUAUGUGAUUCCAUUCCUUGUAGUCUAGGUUGCAACUUAAGAGACCCCCUAGCGUUUUUGCAGCUAGAGGCAAACCGUUGCACUUACGUGCAAUUUGCUUACCAAUUUCAACCAAGUUUGGAUGUUCAUAGGGGUUUUCAUUUCUAAAUGCAUGUUUUGCUAGUAACAACCAACAAUCUUCAUCUGACAAAUUUUCUAAGUUGUGAAUAGGAAUAGUAUUGUGCACAAUGGAUGCAACACGUCUACUCCUUGUUGUUACAAUGACCUUGCUUCCCUUUGCCCCAUACGUGAAAAGAAUUCGUAGACGCUCCCACUCAUUAUAAUUUUCAUUCCAAAGGUCAUCCAAGACAAGUAAAACUCUCUUUCCCCUCAGCUGUUCCCUUAGUUGAACUUCAAGGGAAUUCAUCUCCAAAUUGUCACAAGGCUUUUUAGUGAUUUCCUCAAUAAGGGUCUUAAUAACCCUCAAACCCUCAUACUGUUCGGAAACACAAACCCAAGCAUGAGUAUCAAAGUGGUCUUUAACUUGUUCAUCAUUGUAAAGGAGUUGAGCAAGAGUUGUCUUACCAACCCCGCCCAUUCCGACUAUAGGGACUACAGAAAAAUUACUGCUACUUUCAUUGUCAGAUAGCAGCAGUAGAGAUUUUAACUUUUCUAUAUCGCCAUCCCUUCCAUAGGUACAAAAUUCGUCCUCAACAACAGAAGUUGUGGGAGUUCUUUGUGAAACAUUGCCCCCAACACCUCCUCUAAGACCGAGGUUGUCUUUUUGUUUUGCAAGGUGUUCCAACUUGUUGAACAAAUCUUCUAUUCUACGAUUCAAGGAUUUAUAAUGAAAAGGAUUAAGGGAGGUAGAAAGGAUGUCCCGCACCUGGAUUUUCUUAGUCUGAUCUUUGGCCUUGCGACGCAAAUCUUCAGUAUCAAGCUCAUCCACCAAGUCCUCGGCAUCGAACACAGCAUGUUUGAGCUCGUCUAGCCACAUCCCGACGGCAGGGUUGACGAUCUGCUUCUCCUCUGCAUCGUUGAGCACUGCAUGGAGGGUCAUCAACGUCACCUCCAGUCUGUCCAUGAGUGAAUAGUCGAGUCUUCUUGCCCGGAAGAAGUCCAUGAACUGUCCGGAGGCAAUCUUGUCGCACAACACCUUGAUCGAACCGGAUAGCAAAGCCUCUCCAACCAAAGCCAUUUUCUCUUCUUGGCUAAAGGACUAAUUUUGAUCAAGUAUUUGGAGUUGAAAAACUGAAAAUUAUUCUUGGCAAAGCCUUUUAAGAUUACUUCAUGACGAGAGAGACGACUUGAUAUUUUUCUUGGUUAAUAAUGCAGCGGACCACACACGGCAAACAUAAAGUAGAAAUUAGUAGAGGUUGGAAAACGUUACCGAUCCAACAUUAAUUUAUUAAUUAUAUUCCUUCAUAAAAAAAUCGUUGUUGGUCAUGAAAAUUGGUGGAGUUGGAAAACAUUACAUCAAACAUUAAUUAAUUUAUUAUUUUAUUACAUAUAUAGAUGACAUUAUUUGAUUUGAGUGCAUCUUCACAUGUGAGACAAAGUCAAAGAAAAUAGCUCGGUGAAGAUGAACACAAUUCAAGAAUUCUAUCUAAUCUUAUCAGAACAUCUCAUGAUUCCCAUAUACUGGCCAAUGAUAGAUCACAAAUAUUAUACUUUACCUAUAUCAUCGAUUUCACAACAAAUCCAAUUUAUUUUUUACAUGUUUUCAAGAACUAUUUUAAGAAGUGACCAGAUGGGCCAUAGUGAUUUUCGAUUGGACAAAGCUCAUGGGUUAUGACAAACGCCCAGUUUCUACGCUAACAGUUUGAAAGUUGGAAGUAUGCAGAGUUUGUGAAACCAAGGGCUUUGUUCUCCUGCACAUGGAAAAGUAAAAGAAAAUGGCUGAGACUAAUCUCAAAUUGUUAAGUCGUAAAAAAAUAUGAAAAUUUCCAUUGAUGGAGCGGCGUAAAAUAAAAAAAAUUUAAAAAAUGCUGUAAUUGGAUCUCAACAUUUUUCCCUUGUCUUACUAAAAGAGUAGAAAAAAUCAUCGCGGGUAGUAGAGUGGUCAAGGACGAAGUCUAGGUUUAUAUUCCACACGACACGUCAAGAGUUCAAUUCUUGAUGCUGGUGAAUCACACAAUAGUGGUUAUGGGAGCUGAAAUACCUCUGCAAGUCUUCUCGGCACCCAAAAAUGUGAACCGCAGUGCCACCAGCUGAUUCCAUUUUUAAAAAGAAAAAAAUAAAAUAAAAGAAUAGAAAACGUUGGGGUAAAUUAGAGCAAGACUAUGUGCUUUAUGUAUUCGAUAAUUGAUUUUUUUUUUUUUUAAAAAAUAGAAGGCAAUAGUUUCAUUAAAACAUACUAAUGUGAUUUAUUUGAUAAUUGAUAAAUAAAUAAAUGAAAUGUGCUUUGUUUGCCUUCCAAUUGUUGUAACGGUCACAUUUGGAUCUUUGACCCAUAUGAUGAUCAAAUGGCCUCCACCAUCCUCUUGUGAUGAUUGAAAUCUCCAAAACCAAAUCUUGGUACUACUCUGUGUAUUCUACUCCAAUUCCAAAGGCUCUAUCUUCAUCUUCCUAUUAAAAGAAAAAUUAAGAAAUUUUCGGACGUGACUUCAACGCUAUGUAGCAUUUAAUGUUACGAGUGUAUUAGUUAUCAUAUUUAAUUUUCACAACUAUUACAUUUUAUAUUUUCUAUUCUGAAUAUUUAUUUUUUAUGACACUCAGUACUAUAUGCUUUUUGAAGAAAAAUGGAUUGUACUUUUUCUUGCUUUGCCAGUCUGCCUAUGUAUUCAACAUUCAUGGAACCAUUCAAGUUUAGGAUUUGGUUUGCAUCAGCAAUGCGCUUCAUCAUGAGGAAUUUAAUUAUAGGAGAAAUUUUUCAGUGUGCCAAAAACACUACUUGGUAUAUCAAGUGUAAUAAUGUAAUUAGUUGGAAUUAUUUUCUUUUUCAAGUUUCUAACCCAAUUAUCUUGUUACACUUAGAAUAAUGAACUGUGUUCCUGACGUAUUGAUAAAUCUCUCCACAUAUGAGGGGCCUAAAAUCUAUCAGUCUAGUUUCUAUGCCAACCAUGCCCCUUUUCUUAAGUAUACUUAAUCUUUAAUUUUCUUGGGUUAGCCAAUUUUGAGUCAAGGUUAACAUGUUUUUUCACAAAACUAAUUAAGAAAACACUCUAGUUGCGUAGUUAUAUUGUCAAAUUAUCGAAUUUGAUACUAUAAAAUUAUAUAAUCAAGUAUACGUUACCGCUAUUUAUAUUAAAUAAACACUGUAAUACUAUAACAUACUAUAUUUCAUGAUGAACAAAAAAUUUCCUUCAACGCUAAACUCAUGUUUAAUAUUGAAAUUGUUAUUGAAUAAUGAGGCACGACUUGCAAUAAACCUCACAUACAUUAACAAUUGAAAAUCGUUGAGACCCACUCUUCCAUGUUAUUAUGUUGACAAAAUGUUCCCAGACCAAAAAUAUACCAUAAAAUUCCAUGAUAUUGAUUCCACCAACACGCUGUCGUUUAAGGUCCCUCCCAAAAGUCCCUCAUAACCGUUGCAAACCCACUCUCAGCAUAAAUAUUCCUUUCAAACCGACCCACGCGCCCAUUUUCCAACCGUUUAAACCCCACUCCCUCCCUCUCUCUAAACCUCCAAGAACUCUAUCUCUCUCUCUCUCUCUCUCUCUCUCUCUCUCUCUCUCUCUCUCUCUCUCUCUCUCUACAUGUUUUCAAUCAUAAUCUGCAAGUCCUUUGCUUUUGCAAAGAAAAUCCAAAACCCAUUAGUUUCCAUCCAUCUGAAAUCGAAAUCUCCGCCUCCAUGGCUCCAAGAAAGCUUCUUGAUUUCUGGGUCGUCGUCUUCUUCCUCAUAGCCCUCUUCCUACGCCGUGGCUCCGCCGAGAACGUCAACAACUACUUCCCCUCUUUCAACUUCCGAAACCUUACCGGCCUCACCCGCGAGUUCACAGUCCCCUCUUCCAGCUCCGGCGCCGUCAUAUACAACAACCCAAUUCUGUUCUUUGACCCGGAAUUCAAGCUACUCGAAUUUGAAGCCCGAAAAGCCGGUUUUGAGCGUAGAGAUCGAUCUCUCCGAGCAUCUGAAGGAGGUUAUGUUCGUGGGUUUUUUGGCCUAGACGGAAGGGAGCACGGAGAAGCAUCUGGUUGAGAAUUGGAGCUUUCAUACAUGCGGGUUCGUUGCGAAAAGGCCAAAGCUACAGCCCCACAAUGUGUCUGAUACUUAUGUGGUGGUAAGUGUAAGUCCGAGAAUUCCAUGCUAGGACCAACCAAUUAAUAGGUGUAUGAUGUAUAAUAAUUUGCAGAGUUUAUUUUCAAAUGAAAAAUUAAACAACAAAUACAAUAUAUCAAGAUAUAAUCACUUAAUGAAAUUGCUUAUAAAAUUACAAAUCACUGACUUGUUAUUUGAGGAUAGAGGCUUGCAAAAGCAAUCUCCUAAGAUAGAAAUUCGCCCCUACACCAAUGCAGUAGAUCAGUGGACGUCUAUCUUGGAGGAUACAACUAUCUAAUCCAAGUUCUUGCACACGAACUUAGAUUCUUGGCGAAUUGGUUGUGGUGUUUCUUUUUGGAAUAUGGAAAAAGGAAGCGAUGGAGUUGAUUGAUUUGUUUCUCAUACUGUAGCCAUAUAUACAACAGGUAUUCAUCAAUUUCCUUCCUGAACUUGUAACUAUUGGCCAAUUUCCCCCCUCAACUUUAAUUUUUGCCAAUUUCCCCCCUCAACUCUCAUAAUUAGUCAAUUUGCACCAUACUCUAAUUUUUUAAUUUGAUCAUAAUUAAACAAGUGUGUGUAAGAAACUAAAUAAGAUGUAUGUUAAUCAUUUUCCUAUGUCUUUAUCCUAUUACAAAUAGAUUAAAAUUUAGAAUUUUACAAUUUAUCAUAGAUAGUAUUAUUAGUCAUAAUAAAUCAGUAUGGAGUAAUUUUAUUUGAUUUUUUUAUUAUACAAAAUUGAUAACGAAAAGGAUUGAUGUGUACAUUUUUGUAUGUGAAUACAAUUUUCUUUAUAAAAGUGAAAGGUAAGUUCAAGUAAAUUGCGAAGAAUCGAGCUUUAGUGCAAAAAUGGCUAGUCAAUUCAUAAUUUUCGACUCCUUAUUAAGAAUAACCCAUUUUAUUGAAAUAUGUCUGAUCCAUGAGUUUAGGAUUAUUAUUUCUUCUUCUACAUGCUUUAAACCCGAUUCAUAACUUUUUCUUAUAAUCAACCCAUAUCACAUACUAAUUGUAUUAUGUUUUUGUACAUUUUAUCCUAUAUUAUGCAGGUGAGUUUAUGUUAAUUUUAGUACUUUGUUGGAAGUUAUUAGAAAGAUUGAAAGAAAAAAAAAAGAAUAGAUGGAAAAUUAAAAAAAAUUAACAGUAGGAUGCAAAUUGACUAAUUAUGAGAGUUGAGGGGGGAAAUUGACCAAAAUUAAAGUUGAGGGGGAAAAUUGGCCAAUGAUCACAAGUUCAGGGGGAAUUGAUGAAUACCUCUAUAUAAUGGCAAUUUGAUUCGUUUCAUACUGUAGCCAUAUAUAUAAUAGCAUUCGUGAACAGAUUAUUCAAACUUAUCCUUUUAGAUAUAACUUUUAAAAACUACAUCCUUAAAAUCAAACCUAAGGCCAAUCUUUGACAUUUAAUACAUACACCCAAACCCUUCAAAUUUAAGGUCUAAGGCUUUAGUCCAGUUUCUUUCAAACUGUAAGUAUGAAAACACACUUAUAAAGAGGACUUAAAGUAGGGAAAUGGACGAUAUGGGACUGGGAGUCCCACAUAAUCACAAGUUCCAACAUUCCAGUGUCCGGUUCGGGAGAUAAGCACCACAGGCGGCUCGGCUUAGGACUUGGUAUUGCUGGGCUUGCGUUCUUUUGCGUGGCGCUGUUGGUUUUCGGGUAUGUUUCCGUGACGAAAUGGAUGGAGGUGAGAAGACAGAAGAGCUUCAAAGCAGAGGUUGUGGCAAGUCUGAGAGAGUUUAGUUACAAGGAGCUAAAAUAUGCCAAUGAGGGUUUCAUUCCAGUAGGAUUCUAGGGCAUGGAGCUUUCCGGUCUGUUUACAAGGCGUUUUUCGUGUCUAUGGGCACCAUUUCUGCGGUGAAAAGAUCCAAGCAUUCCAUUAAAGGUAAAACUGAAUUCCUUUCUGAGUUGUCGAUUAUUGCUUGCUUGCGCCACAAGAGUUUAGUUCACCUUUAGAGCAGUUCCACCGGAGCAAAAAGAGGCCAACACCUAGUGGAAAAAACAGGCUGGGACUCAGCCAAUCCACUCCAGCCCGUGUGUUUGCCUGGCACCCAGCCCAAGUUGGUCUCCAAGCCAGCCCAGAAUUGACAGACCUUGGGACUGGCCUAGCUAACGCCAGCAUGACAUCAGCCACCUUGGGACUGGCCUGUCUCGUUCCGGGGGGUUCAUGAUUUCGCACACCGCCAACAGCGCUGCGCCCAGUCCAUCCACGAUGCUGGCCGAGGGGAAAUAUUCCAGCUUCAAAGACGGCGCAUUUCUUUCCGUGGUGGUCUCCAGCUUGAACGCUACUGCCUUGUCCUUCAAAAGCUUGCCUCAAAAGUUGAGGGUCUGGACCAAGUCGAGAAUCUGGACCCUCUGGGAGACGAUCUGGUGAGAAGUGAGCAGCUUGGCCACGGAGGGAUAUGACAACGAUGAGGAGAGAGGGGUGGAGAGGCAUCUCUGCGGCUGCUCCAUGAGGAUUUUGAGAGAACAAGAGGAAGGGAGAUCGGAAGGAGCGGUGAGGAAGGGAGGGUUAUAGUGGAACCUGACUUAUCCUUUUUUUUUUUUAAUAAAAUUAUUAUUUUUAUUAUUUUAUAAUAAAAAAUAAUAGAGUAAAUUACAUAGUAGCCCCUCAUGUUUGAGGUCAAUUACAACCCCAUACAACAACUUUAAAACAUUUCACUUUCAUACAUCCAGUACAAUUUUAUUUCAAAAUAAAACCUCUGUUAGAUUUUCCAUCCAUUAGUCUGUUAAAUGCUGACGUGGCUGCCACAUUUGUGCUGAUGAGGUUGCCACGUGGCAAAAAAAAAAAAUUUUUAAUUUUUUUUUAAAAAAUACCUAAAUCUUCUAAAUAAAAAAAUAAAAACCCAGAAUCUGAACAAAACCCCACCCCCGUGAACCCCCCUUAGCCUUCUUCUUCCCUGCUCCCAUCUUCCCCCACCCCAUACCUGCACCUUUGAAGGAAAAAAAAAAACCUGAGAACAACCCAUAUCCCAUAUCCCCGCGAAACCCAUACCCCAUACGACCACCCCCCAACCCAGAUCCCAUUACCACGCCCCCCCCCCCGACGCGAAACCUAACCCAGAUCCCAUUACCAACCCUCCGGCGCGAAACCCAUAUCCCCCCCGAACUGCAAGGACGUCAUCCUCACCCGCAUCAUCUUCGUCGUCGAAGACGACAACGAGCAGGAAUAGCAAGGCGACGAUGAGAAAUCCCGGUCGACGGUGAGAUCGGGUGGUGACGAAGGACCUUCGUGAGGAGCAGAGGGAUCAGAGAGAGAGAGCUCUGCGGUACAGGCCACGAUGCAACGCAUGACCCAAAUUCACCGCCACGGAGACGACCAGAACGUUGAGCCCAUUCCGACCCAACCCCCGACCCUCAUCCCACUCUCCUCACUCUCUCUCUCAAACCCCAAACCCUCCAGAUCCAAAACCCACACAACUCUGCCGGGUCACCACCGCCAACGCCUUCCUCCUCAGCACUUUGACCCUCCUCCCACUCUCCUCACUCUCUCUCUCAAACCCCAAACUCCCCAGAUCCAAAAUCCCCACAUUCUUCUCGCUUUCUAUUCGCCCCAACGCCAAUCCUAUAUCCAUCACUCUCUCUCCUCCUUCUGCUUUCUCACUCAUUUCUCUCCCUCUCUGACUCUCUCUCCGGCAACCCCCCCCCCCCCGGCGAACCCCCCAUAUCCCAUUAACCCCUUCCCCCACCCCCCUCGCGAACCUAGAUCCCAGAUUUGUGCAUUUUUUUUUUUUUUGCUUUUCUUUUCUGGGUUGAGAUCCCAUUAACCCCUUCCCCCACCCCCGCGAACUCAGAUCCACACAGUUCGGUGGUGUUGGGAUUGGGAGUGGGGAUGAAGAUGGUUAAGGGAAUGAUUUUUGGGAGGUGGAAUUUGUGGGAUUGGGUUGCAGGGAAAAGGUGAGGCUCGGGUUGGGGGGAAGGAGGAUUUAACGGGAAUGGGUCGUCGGGGGAGGGGGGGAGGUGGGAUUUGAAGGGAGUGGGUCGUCGGGGGAAUGGGGAUUUAACGGGAGUGGGUCGUCGGGGGAAGGGGGAUUUGACGGGAAUGGUUCGUUGGGGGGUGGGGGGGAGGAGGAGGUUGCUGCGCUAGGUUUCUGGGGGGAUUAAUGGGGAGGUGGGUUUGGGAUUAAUUGGUUUCUGGUUUUGGGGGUUGCGGGUAAAGCUUUCAGGUUUGUUUUUUUUUUUUUUUUUAAAUAUUUAGAAGAUUAGAUUAAAAAAUUAAAAAUUAUUUUUUUGCCACGUGGCAGCCUCAUCAGCACAAAUGUGGCAGCCACGUCAGCAUUUAACAGACUAAUGGAUGGAAAAUCUAACGGAUGUGUUAUUUUGAAAUAAAAUGGUACUGGAUGUAUGAAAGUGAAAUGUUUUAAAGUUGUAUGGGGUUGUAAUUGACCUCAAACCUGAGGGGCUACUAUGUAAUUUACUCAAAAUAAUAAUAGUUUAAUAAAAUUGACUAGGCUAUUUUUUUGUUAGGGUGGAGAUGCUUUGGCCUAUUACUGUUUAUUAGGGUCUAUUACUGUUCAUUUGAGUGGAUAAAUAGACUGGGUGCUGGCACAAAGUCAUUAGGGGUGGACUUGCUCUCAAGGCUGGUGUGUUGACAAGGGUGAAUUGCUUCUUGUUUACGAUUUCAUGCCUAAUGGAAGCCUCGAAAAGGCACUGUACCAAGAACCCGGACAAAGUACCUUGUUAGAUUGGUCUCGGAGACUGAAAGUUGCGGUUGGAUUGGCGUCUGUUUUGACGUAUCUGCAUCCGGAAUGUGAGCAGCAGGUAAUCCACAGGGACAUAAAGACUGUCAAUGUAUUGCUGGACGGGAAUUUAAACGCAAGGUUCAGUGAUUUCGGGUUGGCAAAGCUCAUGGAUCACGAUAAAAGCCAUUGUCUUGGUAGCUAUUGCAUCGGCCUUUUGGCUGGUCCAAUUUUAGGUACUGCUGGACUAAGUUCCAAUAUGCUCAUUGCAGUCCUCUUGCCCCGAAAGCAUCAAUUAAACAACAGCGGAAUGUGCUAAACUCUAUUCAGUUAUAUUGUUAAAGGAGCAAUUUCCCUUCUGCAAAAUGUAAAAUGCCCUCAGUUACCUCCUAUCAAAACCAAAAUACUUGUAAUAACUGGUUUUCGUUUCUCCUUGCAGAUUUCUAAAGUCCAUUUGUGAACGGUUUCUUGAGCAGGCGACACCCUUUCAACUCGAAAUGUAGCUGAAACGAGUACAACUUUUUUCGAUGUAUAGGAUUCCGUCGUAAUUGUUAUCUCAGAUAAUUUGCAGAUUGAUUGUAGUUAAGAAGAGUAACAAGUUCCAUUGGCAGAUAGGCAAUUACCUGAGCUACUCAGCAAAUAUAGCACAUUUUCUACGUGGGUUACAAAAGCAGCUCACCACAAAUAUAUACAAAUUUAACUACAACGGGAUGGUCCAAUGGUUGGGAACGAGUUUUAGACUCGUAUUCUACACAACACGUCCCGAGUUUGAUUUCUGGCGUUGGUGAAUCACAUGAUGGUGACCAAGGAAGGCUAAAAUGCUUUUGAGUCUUUCCAACCCUCAAAAUGGUGGACUACCAUGGCGAAGCCACUGGCAUUCUAGAAAGUGGUGCCAAAAAGCCAUGCUCUCUUCAACCAUUGUGUUUGUAGAGAAACAUAUGAGUAUAUACACCUACCUCAAGAUGACAGAGGCAUUGAAAGAUGAGUAAGCAUUCCGCCAUAUGGAACCACAGCAGUACAUAUGAGAGAAAAAAAAUACAUCAUCAAGGAGUUACUUGCAUCCCAUGCAGGGGUAAUCAUAUAUGCGAGAGAUUGCCGCCGCACCAAUCAACUACUAGUAAUAUGCAAGCUAAAACCGGUUGUUAUUAUAUUUGAUGAUACCGUCCUGAAAUUCAAAGAAACACGUAAAUGUUAGGGGAGAAAUUAAAAAUAAGAGAGAGAAGAAAGGGUAGCAUAGUUAAUCGGUACAGUUCAUUAGUUUUCUCUCUGGGCAGAUGAAGUCCCACAUACAUUCAAUCUUUAUAUAGAUGUUGACAAGAGCUGAGGUCUGCAGGUCCCUGUUCAAAGUCCAUUUCUGUCCAAAGACUUCAAACUUGACAGUCCAGAAAACCAGAGCACCAUUUGAUAAUCCUAUCUUUACAGCUUUACUCUGUUUGUUCGCUGCAUCAAUGAAACCGAUAUACCUGCUAGUACCAUCAAAUUGUCCUGACUUAGGAUAUAGUUGAAUUGAACUGUCAAAGAAAAAGACUGAUAUAUAAAAUGCAAUGUAGACAAAGCAAACUGAAGAUAGAAAAAGUGAGAGAGAGUAAAUUACAAUUUACAGCUGAUCUGCAAUGUUCCACCGGUGAAAUCCUCCUUAAUAUAUAUGCAAUCUAGUAAUGCAACGUACGUACUGGCAUUCAAGCAAGUACAGCCAUGAGGCACUCUUCAACUGUUGUGUAAGUAGCGAGAAACAUAUCUCCAGUGGACCUACCUGAAGAUUACAGUUACAGUGAAAGAUGAGAAAGUUAUGCCUCAAAUGAGACAAGCAUGAGAAAACCCUCACAUGCAGGAGAAUCAUAUAUAUCAGACUACAAAGAAGUCACUCCCCUCGCAUUCUCCUGUAAUUUCAUCGGAAUUAGACUCUGAAACUUGAAUUUAAGUAGGAAUAUUGUUGCUAAGGACAAUCAAUUUAAUCGUACCCAAUCAAUUUAAUAAUAAAUAAAAAAUUACCUGGCUUUUGUCUUGAGAGUUGAGAGUUGAGAUUUGGAGAGAGUGAAAUGAAGGCUCAUAUGAUGAUGACUUCUCCAUCGAUCUUUAUGCAAGGAAUGCGAGCUAUGUUUCUCCAAUCUUUUCCCUUCUUGGUCUCAUACCUCUUCUUCAGAGAAGGAAAAUUCUCAAUGCUCAGAUAAGAGAUGCCGGAAAACCCUCUUUUGGCAGCAAUUCGAGACUCUUACACCCUACAUUUCUGGCUGUUGAAGAGAAGUGAGGUGCUCAAGUCCCUUUCUGUCCAAAGAUUUCAGAUUCCAUACAUAAGAGAUCCAGAGAGUGUGAAGAGUGGCAGGGAGCAGGUGUUCAUUGAGCAAAAUCUCCAGCAGAUCCUUGUUUCCUUCGCUCCGAAAUUAAUUGGCUCCUGUAGGAAGAUUUCGUAUUAACCACCCAACAUCAAAUGUACUUAAAAGUAGUCAUUACAGAACAAAGCACACUAUGGUUCAUGAGCAAACUGAAAAGUAAUCAUUACAACUUAUGACUAUUACUAAGAUUAAAGUUUUUUAGGGUGUCAAAGAUUCACCUCAUCAAAAUCUUGUCGGAGAUUUCAACCCAGUUGAAGAAAAAAGAGUACAACACACCAACAAAUUACAAGUUAUGACUAUCUAGCUUGUAUUAAUUAAAACAUCCAAAAAAUGUCCAGGUGAGUCUUCAAACUAUAGCAACUCUUAAUAUCAUGCAAGUCUAUGUGCAACAUUUUUGGGCCUCUCAUCUCACAUAAUAUUGGAGCAAACGCAGAAUAAUCCUUCUCCUUUUGCAACAGUCCUGCCAAAGAUAGAGUGGAAUUACUCUCCACUUCCACAGCAGCAGCCCCCGAAUCAGCCGCCAUCGGCAGCCAACAACGUAGUGUUCUGGCCUAAAACGUACGUGGUAGAGAAAAAUGAACCCCCGCAUGCACUUGGCUGUACAGGCAGCAACAAUGUGUGUAGCUGCAUGCGAAUCAGAAAAACAAAUACCAUAUAAUAAGAGAAACAAUGAAUGGACCCCUUAGCGACUGGGAAAUCCAGCUAUGGGCGAUAACAUACAUGAAACACUACCAUGGUUGAGUUGCUACUUACCAAGAAGGCUUCCAAAUUUGCGAGCCCGCUGGGCCAACUUUCACCAUCAAACUUGGGUUAAGGCGUAUUAUCGUCCAUUUCUCCAUGGCAUCUUCCUCUUGAGCGGUUAACGAAUCAAACGAUUGCCUGGAUAUAUAGUGAGCAAUUCUGCAAUGUUCAAACCUCCGAGUCCAGAUGCAACUUUGAAUAUUCUCUUGAUUGCUCAUGAAAUCCACAAUGGUGAGAAGAAUGCUAUAACCUCUCAGUUCCUUUGGAUCACUUCCAGGAGAUAAGAUGUUCAUUGGCGGCAACAAUAGGCACAAUUUCAUUUAACGUAUGUGAUAUAUAUAUAUCUCUUUAAGGAUAGUAUGUGGAUGCAGAGUUUUGAUGAAAAUGUAGGAAAAGAACGCAGAGCUUUACCUUCACAUGCUUUGUACCAUUUCAUUAUAAAUCGAACUGUGAAAGCAAGUUUUCUCUCAAAUCCAUUUCAAUAGGAUGCCAACUCAACUGCUUUCCUUUUUCAUACCUCAGCUUAACAAGAUACUCCUAAAUUCAAAGAUGAAGAAAUUAUUAUUGAUACAUUUAUCUUAGAAAACAAGCGAAUGGAACUUAAAACAAAAGAGAGUGGUGGAACGCUCAAUUACCGCUCAUCCGCAGUGCUCAACGUAAGAAUUACCAUUCUUGUGAAAUCCGUUGCACACCAGCCAACCACUUAUUCAAGUAAUAUCAUUUACUGGAAUAGCAACAAACACAAGCAUGACAACACUGCUACAAGGAACAAGAGCGCUGUUCAACCACUGUAUGUAUAAAAGCAUAUCUGCACCCAGAGUUGCCAUCUGCAUCAAUAAAGCCGACAAAUACGUUAGUCCCAUCGUGUUGUCCUUACUGAUUGCAUAGUUGAAUUACAUUGAUACAUAAAGGAAGAACAAAUUACACUCGAAGUGUUCAACUACUUACACUUAAAUCCGUAGGCGCAGCAGCCAGCCACCAAGUCUAGUCACAUGGGCAUUCUAGCAAGCGGUGCCAAUAAGCCAAGCUCUCUCCAACCAUUGUGUUUGUAGAGAAACAUAUGUGUAUGCACCUACCAAAAGAUGACAGAAGCGUUGAAAGAUGAGUAAGCAUUCCGCCGUAUGGAAACCACAGAAGUAUACAUAUACACAAGUACCUGAGUGGUUGAAGUAAGCUAACAUCGUUUCCCCCCGUGAUAAUCCUAUCUUUACAGUUCAAUAGUUUUCUCUCUGGACCGACGAAGUCCCACAUACAUUCAAUCUUUAUAUAGCUAUUCAAGAGAGCUAAGGUCUAGAGGUCCCUGUCCUGGAAGGAAUUGCGUGCGUGGGAGGCGUUGAAAGUCCAUUUCCACCCGAAAUAUUUCAUACUUUACAGUCCAGAAAAUCAGAGCCCCAUUUGAUAAUCCUAGCUUUACAGGUUCGCUUGCUCGCUGUGUCAAUGAAACCGAUAUAUCAGAAGAUUAGAGUCAUGUCGCAAACGAGAUAAGUAUGAGAAAAGCAUCAUCCAGGGUUUUACCUCUUGUCAUGCAGGAGAAUCAUAUAUAUCGACCUCUCCUGUAAUUUCACUCCCCUCGCAUUUGGCUGCACAGUCCUGCCAACAACAACUUCAACGCAGAAUAAUGCUUCUCCCUUUGCUACAGUCCUGCCAAAGAUAGAGUGGAAUUAUAUCCACUUCCAUAGCAGCAGCCUCCAAAUCAACCGCCAUCGGCAGCCAACGACGUAGUGUCAUGGCCUAAAAUGUACGUGGUAGAGAAAAAUGAACCCCCGUGUGCGCACUUGGCUGCACAGGCAGCAACAAAGUGUGUGGCUGCAUAUGAAUCAGAAAAAAAAUGAAAGGACCCCUUAGCGACUGGGAAAUCCUGCUAUGUGCUAUCAUGUACAUGAAGCACUACCAUGGUUGAGUUACUACUUACCAAGAAGGUUUCUAAAUUUGAGAGCCCGCUGCUCCAACUUUCACCAUCAAACUUGGGUUAAGGCUUAUCAUCAUCUAUUUCUCCACGGCAUUUUCCUCUAGAGCAGUUAACGAAUCAAAUGAUUACCUGCAUAUAUAGUGAGCAAAUCUGCAAUGUUAAGGCUAGCCGACAUUCACCUCUCCCAGACCCUGCGUAAAGCGGGAGCCUUGUGCACUGGGUACGACCGUUUGUUAACUUGCUACAUCACACACACUAAUAUAUAGAAAACAAACCUCCAAGUCCAGAUGCAACUUUGAAUAUUCUCUUGAUUGCUCAUGAAAUCCACAAUGGUGAGAAGAAUGCUAAUAUAUAGCAAACAAGCCGACAAAUACGUUAGCGUGUUGUCCUGACUGAUUGCAUGGUUGAAUUACAUUGAUCCAUAAAGGAAGAACAAAUUACACUCAAGUGUUCAACUACUUACACUGAAAUCUGUAGGCGCAGCAGCUAGCCACCAAGUCUAUUUACGCUGGCAUUCUAGCAAGCGGUGCCAAUAAGCCCUGCUCUCUUCAUCCAUGGUGUUUGUAGACAAAAAUAUGUGUAUGCAGCUACCACAAGAUGACAGAGGCAUUGAAAGAUGAGUAAGCAUUCCGCCAUAUGGAAACCGCAGCAGUAUAUAUAUACACAAGUACCUGAGUGGUUGAUGUAAGCUAACAUCGUUUUCCCUCUGAUAAUCCUAUCUUCACAGUUGAAUAGUUUUCUCUCUGGACCGACGAAGUCCCACAUACAUUCAAUCUUUAUAUAGCUGUUCAAGAGAGCUGAGGUCUAGAGGUCCCUGUCCUGGAAGGAAUUGCGAGAGUGGGAGGUGUUGAAAGUCCAUUUCCAUCCAAAAUAUUUCAAAAUUGACGGUCCAGAAAUCGGAGCACCAUUUGAUAAUCCCAUCUUUACAGGUUUGCUUGCUCGCUGCAUCAAUUAAACCGAUAUAUCUGUUAGUCCCAUCACAUCUACCAGAACAUUACAGUUAUGGUGCAAACGGACUACAAAAAAUUCUUGUACAAUCAGGAGUACUAAAUCAAAAUCCCAAACAGAGUUUUAAUCCAAACCAAAACUGGAUUACUCUUAUAAACAAAUUGAGACCUUAUCACUUUAUUCUAAUCUGAAAUAACUGAACCGUGUGAAUCAUAAUCACACUCUAACAGAAAGUGUUUCAAAUGCAUUAAAUAGGUCAAUACAAAGAGUACCACUUGUUGACAUUACUGAGAUUCCAAACCCUCCUGCAUCAGUUUCUAAAGCUGAACCAUAUGCAGAUAGACUUAGUCUAGAUUCCGUGAACACUGAAUUCAGCUUAACAGGCACUCAUAAGAGCUUCAAACAGAGGCUUGGAAUCCAAAACAGAAGCAAGAGAAGAUAUAACAAUAAGGAGAACCUGAGCAUGUCACAAGGAACAAACGAUAUUAAGGGGACCACUAGAUCACUUCAUAAAAGGUUCAGUAAACUAAAAUUAUCUGGGAAAACCAGUUUGAGAAAAGGUGGUUCAAGUUUAUCAGAGCAGGAGCCGAAGCAUAACAAUAUUGUGUCCAGCAUGACUUCUUUCAUUCCACUUGUUCAACAGAAACACGCAGCUGCAGUUGUAACAGGUAAUUUCUUACUAGUAAUCUUAACCUUUGAACUUUGGAUUUUGCAUUACAUGUACAUAUUCCAUAUGAUUGUUUUUCUGAGUGUGGAUCAUAAUUGUACGUCUAAACUGGGUUACAGUAUGGAUGAUGGUUUUAUUUUUACUGAAUUAGGGAAUGUUUUAUUUGGAGUAGUAAAUUAGCAAUGAAUGUCUGGGAUCAUCAAGUAAAAUUUAGAGUGCAUAUUUGAAAGUCCCAUGAAAGCUGAGUUGCCCCAUUGUCCUCCAUAAGUAUGUUAUAGGUGACUUCAUCUUGUCAUACGGAGCUUGACAGUGAUUCAUUUGUUUUUUUAUUGUAUCCUUGUGAAUUCUUGUGAGUAUUCUGGGAUAUUUUUCUUUGUUUCUUUUUUUCUCUCCAAUGACUUGAUUCAGUAUUUUGACCUAUUUGUGUUUUCUUGCAGGGAAGAGGGACGUCAAAGUGAAGGCCCUGGAGGCAGCUGAAGCUGCAAAGCGUCAGGCAGAAAAGAAAGAGAAUGAACGCAAGAUGAAGAAGGAAGCCUUGAAACUUGAGCGGUCAAGAAUGGAGCAGGAGAAUAUGAAGCAGUUGGAGUUGCAGAAGAAAAGGAAAGAAGAAGAGAGGAAGAAAAAAGAGGCAGAUAUGGCAUCAAAUAAGAGACAAAGGGAAGAGGAAGAAAGGAAGGAGAAGGAAAGAAAAAGAAUGCGUAUUGAAGCACGUAGAAACAAGAGAGAACAUGAAGACAAGUUACCUGCAGAAAAGGUAGAGAAAGAAAUGAAAACCCUGGCCAUUGUAUGAUUCUUUAUGGUCUGCCUCAUUUCAUUAUAUCUAUCUUUUUGCAAUGUUAGAUAUCACUUGUAUAUUGGGCUGUCUUGUGUAGGAUGGAAGAGGCCCUGGGGGUAAGGAAUCUAAGGAUGAAAUGGCAAAUAAGAAAAUGGAGGAAGAAAGGGGAUAUGACAAUAACAUAAAUAUUUCGGAGACUAAGCCUAGUACUUCCAGGAUUUCAAUAAGCAAUGCUGGAAAAGAAAGUAUUGUCCACGAAGAGUUCCACGAGGCUUCUAGUAAUUAUGGAUAUAAAGCAGAGGUAAAUGCAAAUGAUUUUUUAACAACCAAUACCCACCAUAUCUUAGGAUCUACUUGCAUAUAUUGAGUGCUUUCACUUGUGUAGGCUGGAGCAUGAUGAUAAUCCUCUGUUAAUGGAGUUUGAAAGUCCAGAUGCAACUUUGAAUAUUCUCUUGAUUGCUCAUGAAAUCCACAAUGGUGAGAAGAAUGCUAAUAUAUAGAAAACAAGCCAACAAAUACGCUAGUCCCAUCGUGUUGUCCUGACUGAUUGCAUAGUUGAAUUACAUUGAUCCAUAAAGGAAGAACAAAUUACACUCAAGUGUUCAACUACUUACACUGAAAUCUGUAGGCGCAGCAGCCAGCCACCAAGUCUAUUUACACUGGCAUUCUAGCAAGCGGUGCCAAUAAGCCCUGCUCUCUUCAUCCAUGGUGUUUGUGGACAAAAAUAUGUGUAUGCAGCUACCACAAGAUGACAGAGGCAUUGAAAGAUGAGUAAGCAUUCCGCCAUAUGGAAACCGCAGCAGUAUAUAUAUACAAAAGUACCUGAGUGGUUGAUGUAAGCUAACAUCGUUUUCCCUCUGAUAAUCCUAUCUUCACAGUUCAAUAGUUUUCUCUCUGGACCGAUGAAGUCCCAUAUACAUUCAAUCUAUAGCUGUUCAAUAGAGCUGAGGUCUAGAGGUCCCUGUACUGGAAGGAAUUGCGAGAGUGGGAGGUGUUGAAAGUCCAUUUCCAUCCAAAAUAUUUAAAAAUUGACGGUCCAGAAAAUCAGAGCACCAUUUGAUAAUCCCAUCUUUACAGUUUUGCUUGCUCGCUGCAUCAAUUAAACCGAUAAAUCUGUUAGUCCCAUCACAUGUACCAGAAGAUUACAGUUAUGGUGCAAACGGGAGAAGUAUGAGAAAUCAUCCAGGGAUUUACCUCUUCUCUUGCAGGAGAAUCAUAUAUAUUGACCCCAAGUAGUUCCACAGUAUCAGACUACAAAAAAUUCACUCCCCUUGCACUCUCCUGUAAUUUCAUUGGAAUUGGACUCUGAAACUCUAAUUUAAGCUGGAAUAUUGCUGAGGACAAUCAAUUUAAUAAUAAAUAAAAAAAGUACCUGGCUUUUGUCUUGAGAGUUGAGAGUUGAGAGUUGGAGAGAGUGAAAUGAAAGCUCAUAUGAUGGUGAUUUCAUCAUCUACGUUUAUGCAAGGAAUGCGAGCUAUGUUUCUCCAAUCUUUUCCCUUCUUGUUCCCAUACCUCCUCUUCAGAGAAGGACAACCCCGGAUCUUCAGAUAAGAAAGAGAUGCCGGCAAACCCUCUUUUGGCAGGAAUUUGAGACUCUCGCAGCCUGAAAUUUGUAACUGUUGAAGAGAAGUGAGGUGCUCAAGUCCCUUUCCGUCCAAAGAUUUCAGAUUCGAUACAUCAGAGAUUUCGAGAGUGUGAAGAGUGGCAGGGAGCAGCUGUUCAUUGAGCAACGUCUCCACCAGAUCCCAGUUAACGAUAGAUAAUGUUUGUAGAUUGGGAGGCAAACCCCCUUGUGCAAAUGACACCACAUUUGGAAGACACUCUAUCGACAAAUGUUGAAGGGCGGUGAGGGUGUGCAUUCGGUCCGGCAACAACUUCAAAUUCACGCAAUGGUCUACUGAAAAGUAAGUCAGGUUGGGAGUGGGCAAUCCUCCGUCAGGAAAAGAGACAAGAUUUGGAAGACUGCCUAUCAAUAACCUUUGAAGGGCGGUGAGGGUGUGCAUUCGGUCCGGCAACAACUUCAAAUUCUCGCAGUUGUAGACAUGAAAGAAAGUGAGGUUGGCAGUGGGCAAUCCCCCGUCGGGAAAAGAGACAAGAUUUCGACAUAUCUGGAUAUCCAGGUAGUUGAGAUGGCGGAGAUUUUCAUCUGCUCCUCCUUCAACUGAAAGAGAUUCCAGAUUCUGACAACGCAUUAUACGAAGAGAUGAAAGGUUGGGGAAAAUGCCCAAAGGGAACGACCUCAUCUCACCUGAUAGAAAUUCUAAUUUCUUGCAAUUUACUAUACGGAGUGACGUCAGCGUGGUGGGCAGACCAUUUGUAGGGAACGACAAGAGUGAGCAACAUUCAUAUAAUGUCAAACUUUGAAGAUGAUUGCUGUUGUGCACCAUUUGCGGCAACCACUCUCUCCCACCAUCAUCGUAAAUAUCAAGACUCUGAAGCGACGGCAGCGUCUCCGUCGACUCGAGUAACAAUGAGAGACCCGGACAUCCCUUUAUUGUCAGUUGUUCAAGAGAUCGUCGUAAGGAUUCCGUGUUCAGAGUAUUACUGGCCCUGUUUUCAUGUAGAACCUUACAUCCAUCGACCCAAAGGAUUUUCAAGGAAGGAAGAUGAGUGGGCAAGCUUCCUCUCAGCUUCGGACAUUGGCGUAACCUCAGCUCCUUAAGACGAGGAAAGCCUGGACUUUCACCUCCACUUGGACUUGGCUGCCAUUCUUCCCACUCUGGCAUCUCCCGAAACUCUAGCUUCUCUAAACAUUGAAAUGGUUGAUUUCCCCCGUACAACUCAACACCAACACUCUUAACAACUUUCAUCCUUUCUACGUAGAGCUCUUUCAGAGCAGGUAGCUGACCAACUAGUGGCAAUGAACUGCAAUUACUACAGUCAUUGAGACGCAUCACUUGUAAGUUGGAGAAGGACGAGUCUCCCACCCAAUUCGGGAAACUGAUUCCGCCAUAACACCUGACGGUUAGUUUCACCAAAUUUACCGAAGGCUGUAGUCUUUCGAGUACAUGUCUCUCUUUUACAAAAUCAUCGGAAACUUCAGGACCCCAUGCCAACUCUACCUCUUUGAGAUCUUUCUUAUCCUUCAACAACGCAUCAAUAGCACCGACUACAUUUUGCAGAUUCAAGAUGGAAAUUUUUCCUCCAAGGUGCGACAACUCCCUCAGUUCUCCAAUAUUGGACCCAGUAGAUUUCCCCAGCACAAAAGCUGUCAGUGUUCUCAAACUUUUUAGUCUACCCAUAUGCACCGGCAUCUCUUUUAUUUUAGUUCCACCAAUAUCAAGAUGACGCAAAUGAAUCAAUUUCCUCAUGUCUGCAGGCAAUUCAACAAGAGAAGAACAACCUAACAACAAUAGAGUUUGUAAAUUGUAGAGAGUACACACUCUAUCUGAUAACCUUUUAAUUGCCGUAUAAGAGAGAUCAAUGUAGCGCAAGUGCAUGUGGUUACCAAUGGAAUCAGGUAAGUGAGUGAUAUUCAUAUAUCUUGAUAAUGAAAUUGCCCGUAAACAUUUUUGUGCUGGCAAUAAAUCAUCUAGAAUCUUAUUGCUUACAUAUCCACCAUUCCAACUAUAAUGUGGUGGUAAAGACACUGGAAAGAAGGUACGCAAACACUUAACUCCUUUUAAUGGCUCAAAUAUUGGAGAUGUAUCAAAUUUUCCUCUCAUAUAUGACAAGUGGCGAACUUUUUUAGAAACUUCGUGCGAAUUUUUUUGAUCCAACCUCAAACAAAACUCUCCAGACACAAACAUAGCCAAGUCAUUAAUAAGAUCAUGCAUAGUGAAACUUGGUUUAUCCAAUCUUGGUCUUUGAAAUAGUGAACGCGAUAACAGUUCAUUAAAGUACCUUUCACCAACCUCCUCCAUUGCUUUCUUGCUCUCUAAUUGUGGAAUUAAACCUUCUGCCACCCAUAGUAGAAUAACAUUUUUCUUUUCAAACUCAUAGUCCUUUGGAAAGAUUGAGCAAUAAGCAAAGCAUCGUUUCAAGUAAGCCGGAAGAUAGUGGUAACUCAAUCUUAGAGAAGGAAGAAGACUAUUAGGGUGUGGCAGAUCCCAAAGAUUACUAUCCAAUAUGUGAUUCCACUCCUUGUAGUCUAGGUUGCAACUUAAGAGACCCCCUAGCGUUUUUGCGGCUAGAGGUAAACCGUUGCACUUACGUGCAAUUUGCUUACCAAUUUCAACCAAGUCUGGAUGUGCACCGGGGUUUUCAUUUCUAAAUGCAUGUUUUUCCAGUAACGACCAGCAGUCUUCAUCCAACAAUUCUUUUAAAUCGUGAAUAGGAAUAGUAUUGUGCACGAUGGCUGCAACACGCCUGCUCCUUGUUGUUACAAUGACCUUACUUCCCCUUGCCCCAUACGUGAAAAGAAUUCGUAGACGCUCCCAGUCAUCAUAGUUUUCAUUCCAAAGGUCAUCCAAGACAAGUAAAAAUCUCUUUCCACUCAGUUGUUCCCUUAGUUGAACUUCAAGGGAAUUCAUCUCCAAAUUUUCACAAGGCUUUUUAGUGAUUUCCUGAAUAAGGGCCUUAAUAACCCUCAAAGCCUCAUACUGUUCGGAAACACAAACCCAAGCAUGAAUGUCAAAGUGCUUUUUAACUCGUUCAUCGUUGAAAAGGAGUUGAGCAAGAGUUGUCUUACCAACCCCGCCCAUACCGACUAUAGGGACUACAGAAAAAUUACUGCUACUUUCAUUGUCAGAUAACAGCAGUAGAUCUUUUAACUUGUCUUUAUCUCCAUCCCUACCAUAGGUAUAAAAUCCGCCCUCAACAACAGAAGUUGUGGGAGUUCUUUGUGAAACAUUGCCUCCAACAACAUCUUCUCUAAGACGGAGGAUAUCUUUUUGAUUUGCAAGGUGUUCCAACUUCUUGAAUAAAACUUCUAUCCUACCAUUCAUGCCUUUAUAAUUAAAAGGUUUACGACAGGUAGAAAGGAAGUUCCACACCUGGGUUUUCUUAGUCUGAUCUUUCGCCUUGCGACGCGAAACUUCAGUAUCGAUCUCAUCCACCAAGUCCUCGGCCUCGAACACAGCAUGUUUGAGCUCAUCAAGCCACUUCCCGACGUCAGGGUCGACAAUCUGCUUCUCCUCAGCGUCGUUGAGCACUGCACGGAGAUUCACCAACUUCAUCUUCAGUGUGUCCAGGAGUGAAUAGUCGAGUCUUCCUGCCCGGAAGAAGUCUAUGAACUCUCCGGAGGCAAUCUUGUCGCACAGCAACUGGAUGGAACCGGAGAGCAAAGCCUCUCCAACGAAAGCCAUUUUCUCGUCUUGGCAAAAGGACUAAUUUUGAUCAAGUAUUUGGAGUUGACAAACUGAAAAUUAUUCUUGGCAAAGCCUGUAAGAUUACUUCAUGACUGGUGAGACGACUUGAUCUUUUUCUUGGUCAAUAAUGCAGUGGACCACACACGGCAAACAUAAAGUAUAAAGUGGUGGAAGUUGGGAAACGUUUCCAUCCAACAUUAAUUUAUUAAUUAUUUUCUUCCAUAAAAUAAUCGUUGUUGGUCAUGAACAUUGGUGGAGGUUGGAAAACAUUACAUCAACCAUUAAUUUAUUUAUUAUUUUCAAUGUGUCUAAAACAUUAACCGGUAUAUCAAGUAUAAUAAUACAAUUGAUCGAAAUUUUUUUUUUCAAGUUUCUAAUUCAAUUGUCUUAGUACACUUGGCAUAACAAGCCGUGUUCCUGACAUAUUGAUUAAUCUCCCCACACAUCAAGAGGCCUAAAAUAUAUCAAUCUUCUUACCCUUAGUAUAACGGUUAUAAUUAUUAUAAUUUAAAAAUGAUCCUCUUACUUGUAACCGUUAGAUGUGUUAGUGAGAAGGAUCUGCCCCUUACGCUCCGACCACACACGUCAAACAUAGAGUAGUAAUUGGUGGAGUUUGGAAAAACACAGUAAAAAGAGGGGUGUGCUAUCCACAUCUCUUUUUAUUUUUUCCACUCCUUGUUAAUUUUUGUAAUUUGAUAUUCUUUAAUUCAUCUGAUCCGACGGUGAAAAAUUAAAAAAAUAAGAAAAAUAAAAAAUAAUAUGUGGAUAUCACAUCCCUAAAAAGAAUCACGCAAUACAUUUGGAUCUCAACAUUUUUCCGUAUGAUAAGAUCACAUGUUCCCACCAUCGUCUUGUAACCAUCGUCUUGUCACCAUCUUGUCAUUAUUUCUACUCUGGUUCUAAUUCCAAGGGGAACAUCUUCGUGUGAAAAAUAAAGUAAAAGUUUCUGGCAGGACCUCAAUGUUGGGUUGAAUUUCUACAAUUAUUAUUUACAUUUUAUACUUUUAAUCUCAACCACUAUUAUACUUUUAAUCUCAACCACUUAUUUUCUACAACAUUCAUUAUCAUGUGCUAUGGGGAAAAAAAAAAUAAAAAUAAAAACUUGAAAAGUUUCUUGCUUUUUCUUGCUUUGCCUAUAUUUUCAACAUUAAUGGGACCAUUCGUGUUUACGAUUUGGUUUGCCUAUUCAUUCAACGUUCAUGGGACCAUUCUGCUUUGCCUAUAUUUUCUUGCGUUAACCAAUUUUGACUCAAAGUUAACAUGUUUUUGCACAAAACUAAUUAAGAACACACUCGAGUUCCAUACCUUAUAUUGUCAAAUUAUCGAAUUUGAUGCCGCAUAAUUAUACAAAAGUGCAUUUAGAUUAACAGUGCACUUCCUCUUUUACAUCUAAAUUUGAACCUCCAUUUUUAUCGCUAUAAUUUAUACGAGUUUAAUAUAAAUUAUCUUAUCAUUUAUUAAAAACCCCACUUCAUAAAUAAGUAGAUGCGAUAUGUUUAAAUGCAAAUCUGUAACAAAAACAAUGGAAAAGAAUAAGUACAGAUGUUUAUGGAUAGCAAAGGUCUCGAAAACAUAUAUACUCCACAAAAUCUAGCACGAGAGUAUUGAGCCUAGAUAAUAUAACCUCCUCCCCAAUACUAAUUUAUAGCUGAUUUAUUUUGUGGUUUAGCUAAAAUCACCAAUUCUCAUUAUCAUUGUACAAAUAAAUAAAUAAAGAGUAAAUAGUAGCAAUAGUUUCUUUAACUUUAAUCAAAUUGGUUAAAGUUAAGGGACUAUUGCUCCAAUUGAGUUAAAAUUAAAAGAUUAUUUCUCCAAUUGGAUUAAAGUUAAGAGAUCAAUGUUAAUGAAUUUUUAGUUGAGGGACCGCACGUUUUGAUGGGUUAAGGAACUAAUGAUAAUAGAUUUGUAGUUGAUGGACUAUUGCUCCAAUUAAGUUAAAGUUAAGGGAUCAUUGCUACAAUUUAUUCAUAAAUUAAACAAAGGUAAGAAGAGAUAUGAAAUAUUGCAGAAGAAUUGUUAUUGACACUCCAAAAAAAUCAUUAUGCAUUUGUGUAACAAAGUUAUCAAGGAUGGAUUGAGUGCACGAUGACUUUCUUUUGCUAAUAACAAAUUCCUAAAGUGGAUCACAUUAUUAAUAUUGCUUUUGGAAAGAAUUUCUGUUAUCUGCAUCUUCUACAUAUAUAAAGUCAAAAGGGAAAACAGGUGAAACAUUUAAUAUUUCAAAAUUGCCCCUUUUAUUACAGGUUAUAUAAGAGUAAAAAUGUAAGGACAUGAUGGUAAAACCAGGCAAAGGAGAGAAAGUGGAGGAAAAAACUAGAACAUGCUUACAGAAAGAAACUAUAUUUGAAGCAUCCGUUUGGUUGCCCAGCCCACAAAAAAAAUAAAAUAAAAUAAAAAUCCCACAAUUAAAUCUACAAACAACGGAAAUGUGACACUGAUGUUAGCAAACUUUUAUGGUCUUCAAUCUCGAUAAUUUAUGUGCACAUUGGAAUCCAUACUUCAUACUUCACUUGUUUUUGUUGAUCUCUUGUGAUAGGAUACUGUGUGAUAACUGAAUUGGUUGAUAAGUAAGCAUUGUAUUAGUGCUGACUAGGACAGAUAUGUAUGGUUAAAAAGGAUAAGGUUGUUAGUAGUAAGCUUACGGAGGAAGCUAACUAGCUACUAUAUUAGAAAGGAUUGUAAACGGAAGGGUCGUUGUUGUAAUUGUUGUUAAUUGUAAUAGAAAGUUACUUGUUACUGCUACAUAGAAGUCAAGAUGCAGAGUUAGGGUUCUAUCAUUGGUAUCACCGCCAGUGCAUUCGAUCCGGCUUGAUCCUUCUUCGUGUAUGACUCGGCUCGGUUCCAGACGCACCAUGGAAACGAGAGUAUCUCAGCUUGAGUCCCUAUUUGCUGAUUUCCAGAAGGAGUUCAAAGAUUCCAGGCAUGAAUUUCAAGAAUCAAGAACUGAAUUUCGAAAUGCCCAUGAGCUGAUUUUGCAGCAAUUGCAGGUGUUAUCGACGAGAGGUAGUGGGUUGAUGGGCGAAUCGUCGGAAGGGACACAUUCUGAUCACAAUUUACCGCCGGGAGUGAAUCCUCAGUUUGUUCGUCAAGAAUCGAUUCCGUCGCCUCGACAACCAUUUAUCAAGAUCGAUUUUCCCAGAUUUAGUGACGGCGAUGACCCCUUGGGGUGGAUCUACAAAGCAGAGCACUAUUUUGAUUUCUUCGGUGUCGAGGAUUUCAAGAAAGUAAAGAUGGCAUCAUUCCAUCUGGAUGGCGAACCUCUACAAUGGUUCCAAUGGGCUAAUUGUAUCCGGACAUACCCUAGGUGGGAAGAUUUCACUCAAGCUCUUUGUCAAGAAUUUGGUCCGUCGGAGUUCGACGAUUCGGCAGAAAGCUUGGUUAAACUUCGCCAAACGGGAUCUCUGCGUGAUUACAUCUUGGAGUUUCGAAGAUUGGCGAAUCGUACAAGGGAAGUUACCCCAUCUCUCUUGCGAUCUUGUUUCAUUGGUGGUCUUAAAUCGGAGCUGCGUCAUGAUGUCAAAAUCCUAAAGCCCAGAGACGUUCUGGAGGCCACUGCUUAUGCUCAACAGAUCGAUGCCAAGUUGUCUGAAUUAAAGGUCAAGUCUUUUCCUCGUUCAUCUGUUAAUUCUUCGUUUCGUCCUCCAUUACAGAAUGUUGCUGAUACUGUUGUGGGAAAUAACAAAUUCAAACAUGAAAAUGUGAGGCGAUUGACACCUGAAGAGGUCGAAUACUGUCGGAAACAUGGUCUUUGCUUCCAUUGUAAGGAAAAAUUUGUUCGCGGCCACACUUGUGAGAAGAAACAACUUUUAUUGAUUGAUGUUCAGUAUGGUAGUGAUAAUGAAGCCUCUGACAUUGAAAAUUUGGAACCUGAGAUUACAGCAUGUGCCCUUUUUGGUACCCCAGCUCCUAAGUCAAUUAAAACCAUGAAGGUUCUUGGUAGUAUUAGGAAUUGUCCGGUGGUAAUACUUAUCGAUUCUGGUAGUUCCCAUAACUUCGUGGAUUCUGUGUUGGUCAAGAAAAUCAAUGGACAAUUGAAUACAGAUCAUUCUUUUAGUGUCAAGAUUGCGGAUGGGGGCCAAGUCAAGACUACAGGUUCUUUAGGGGCUGUUUCACUCAAGAUUCAACAAGAAUCUACUAUAUUAGAAAGGAUUGUAAACGGAAGGGUCGUUGUUGUAAUUGUUGUUAAUUGUAAUAGAAAGUUACUUGUUACUGCUACAUAGAAGUCAAGAUGCAGAGUUAGGGUUCUAUCAUCUUGGCACAUCUAUACUAAAUUGUUUGGUGUUAGUCGGUUUGUUUGAUUCAUAUUUCAAUUUUGUAAGUAGCCAGAGUAUCUUAGGAAAUGAAAAUAUCAAAAAUAAAAUAAACAUUUGUAAAUAGUGUCAAGCGCAUGUAGUUAUAAAUUUGUAAGUCACACGUAGCAUGCCUGAUUAAAGGCCUUUAAUCCAUGUCCCAUUGUUAGCACGCCUGAUUAAAUGCCUCUAAUCCAUGUACCAAUUGUUAACAAUGAUAAACAACUAAUGCAACAUAUUUUAGGGGUGGGUAACGCCUGUGAUUAAAAAACCUUACGCGCAUGCAGAGAUGCUAGUUUAGAGUAAAUAAAGAAGACUGUACAUACGCAAAUGUGGGAUAAACUAGGGUUGGAUACGGCCAGGCCAAACUCAAAAUUGAAGCAGAUGGACCGGACCCGUUUGUAACUGAAAUGUGACGGGACAGUGCUGGUCUUGUUAGCUGAGAAAUGAAACCGGACUUAACCUGACUCGUUUGAAAUGAACCUGUUCCUACAGGUCCAAGGGUCAUUUUUUUAUAUAAAUUUUUUGUUAAUAAACUAUGACUGUUGUGCUUAAAGUAUAAGCUGGGUGUGCUUGAACAAAAUAGCUGUUGUGCUACAAGUAAAAGCACAAUAAAUUAUAGUGGAGUAGCCUACCAUCACUUUUCAAUUUUCAUAAGUUCCAAGUGAGCCGAAGGCAAAGGCUAACAGUCAGCCAAAAUGCCCAACUGAAAAUAUAGAAAAGAAAGUACACAAACAGCAAGUUACAAAAUGAUUGUCCUUUAAACCAAAUCAUGGUGACGCCAAAUUGCCACAAACCAACUUGCAAAUUUGAAUUCUUCAAAUCUAGAAGACAAUCUUAACUCCAUGCAACCUCCCUAAUAAAAUUAAAUCAAUCACAAAACCCUAAUAGCAAUUGAUUAACAUGAGAUUAAUAAAUUUCAUCGAAAAUCUAAUUAGAUAAUACCUUUAAAUUAACCACAAAAAUAACAAAACCGCAUCAAAAUCCCAAUUUUCAAUUCCACUGUAGAGAGAAAUCGAGUAGAUCCCCCAAUAAAAUGAAACAUGCAAAUGAGAAUUAAAUAAUUACAACUCAAAUUAAAAGCUUAUGCUUUCAUAGACAUCUGAAUUCUUGAAAAUUUACCCAUCUAGGCGGUAGCCCCAAUUAGUCGAAAUCGAUCGAGCAUGAGAGAUUUUCUUUCAUAGACAUUUGUUUUACUAGACAUUUGCUUUCAAACGAGCAUGAGAGACUCAUGUAGAACAAGAUAUGGAUUAAUUUUGAAGACAUCCAUCAUAUGGUAAAUUAUUAGAAUUGGAUAUCUACUUUUCCCUACAAUAAUAACUGGGUGUUGUUAUUGGAACUCAACUCACAAUCAAAAUAUAAUUAUCAUUCAUUUUUCUCUCUUCGUGGCCAAAGGACUAAUUUUGAUCAAGUAUUUGAAGUUGGGAAACUGAAACUACAUUUAUGUGCUCAUCUGAAAACCACAUUUAUUUGAUCACGUUUUCUUUCAUUACUUUUUUUUAUAUACAUUUUCUAACAUGCCAUUACAUAAUCUGAUCUCUUUUUAAUUGUAUUAUUGUAUCAGGUAAAAAAAACCACAUUUAUGGUAAGGACUUUAUGCAGAGCGGGCGGGAACCACCAAUAUUUUGGUGGUUCUGUCAAAUGCCUUAAUUGUUGCUGAAGAUUCAAGAGUUACAGCAUUUUAUGGUGAAAGUAAUAUUUCUUUAUCUUUAACUAACAAAUUGAUUAUUACUCGACUAUGUUUAUAGUAUAUGCAGUAUAUUAAUUGGUUCUAAUUUAUAUAUACAGUUCGACCCGAAGAAAAGAAAGUUAAACGCAUUUCUAAGAAUCCUCCAACACGAGCAACAUGAUGUCAUGAUCAAUGUGAUGCGCAUUAUAUGUUAGGACAUAUAUUCACAAGGAAGAUAUUAGAGUCCAUUAGGAGAGAGCAAUGCUUCUUUCCUUGCUUGGAAAUUCGCCUAUUUUUCCCUCUUCCACUUCACAAGGACUUGUAUCAGGAGGUUUGAAUGCAUUCAUAUUGAUCAUGACACCAUGUUGCUCGUGUUGGAGGAUUCUUAGAAAUGCAUUUAACUUUCUUUUCUUCGGGUCUAACUGUAUACAUAAAUUAGAACCAAUUAAUAUACUACAUAUACUAUAAAAAUAGUCAAAUAAUAAUCAAUUCGGUUGUUAAAGAUAAAGAAAUAUUACUUUAGCCGGAAUAUGAUGUAACUCUUGAAUAUCCAGCAACAAUUAAGGCAUCUGGCUGAACCACCAAAAUAUUGGUGGCUCCCGCCUGCUCUGCAUAAAGUCCUUACCAUAAAUGUGGUUUUCUUUGCCUGAUACAAUAAUACAAUUAAAAAGAGAUGAGCACACAAUCAAAUUAUGUAAUGGCAUGUUAGAAAAUGGAUAUAAAAAAACGUAAUGAAAGAAAACUAAAGACAGAAAACUUGGUUUUACUUACUGUCUUAGAGAUUUUCUGUUUAAUUGUUCUCAUCAAAUUGUUUGUCUACUUUCAUUUGGUCUUUUAUAAUGUAUAAGAUUGUGUUUGAAGGGGUGAAUAUACUGAUGAACUGAACGCAGUCAAACCUCAUGAUACAAGUCCGUGUGAAGUGGAAGAGGGAAAAAUAGGCGAAUUUCAAAGCAAGGAAAGAAGCAUUGCUCUCUCCUAAGAGGGAAAAAUACCGACUAUAGGGACUACAGAAAAAUUACUGCUACUUUCAUUGUCAGAUAGUGUUUUUAACUUUUCUUUAUCUUUAUCCCUACCAUAGGGACAGAAUCCUUCCUCAACUACGUAAGUUGUGGGAGUUCUUUGUGAAACCUUGCGCCCAAUACCUUCUCUAAGACCAAGGCGAUUUCGCUGUUCUGCAAGGUGUUCUAACCUCUGAAAUAACUCCUCUAUCCUACCAUUCAUGCCAUUGUAAUUAAAAGGAAUACGAGAGGUAGAGAGGAAAUUGCACACCUGGGAAUCAGAAAACACAUUCAUCAGGAUUUGAACCCAUGGGAAUCCUGCAAGGUGUUCUAACCUCUGAAAUUAUAAACCGAUUAAAGUUUCAGCAACAAGGAGAUUACUCAAUCAGAAAACACAUUCAUCAGGAUUUGAACCCAUGGGAAUCAGCUGUAAUUAAUAAUUAUCAAUAAUUAAAAGUAAUGAACCAGAAAUUCUAGCAAAAAUAAUUCGCAAUUGCAGAAAUACAGUAAAAUCUGCAUUCCAAUCAAACAGAGGGCAUGGAAAAUCGAAGUGUGGAUGGGAAUUUACAGACCUGGACGAGCUAAACUAAAUUUCAGGCCUAACUAGUAACUACAUUAUUCAGACACAAUCCAAAACAAUACUGCUAUGUUAUAUAUUCUAAACAAAAUUAGCUUACUGUAACUCAACCAUUGAAGCCCACCAAUUAGGGCUGGGUUCGGUUUAAAACGGUUCGGUUUUUUGCCAAAACCGAAACCGAACCGAAAUUUCGAUUCAGUUCGGUUCGGUUAUUUUUUUUUUCGGUUCGGUUUUUUUCGGUUUCGGUUUUUUCCGGUUCGGGUUUCGGUUUUUUCGGUUUUUUUUUUCUUUCAAAAAAUGAUGUAAAUAAUGGAAGGAGCUUACCUAUCAACCUCCCAAUUCUCAUAUAUCAGAGAAUUGAGAACCUCAAAAUCCUGAAUAUAACUUUAAAAUUUGCAAAAUCAUGAAAUAAUUCAACAAAUUAACUGAUGCAGAUCAAAAAAAAAAAAAAAAAAAGCAAAUGGGUUCGUCUAAAUGCCAUAAUCGAACUCCAAUAUCACAUGUCCAGUGCCCAUAUUCAAAUUCAUAGUCUAGUCCACAAUAGAUCUAGAAAAUUCCAAAACAUAUUCAGAGAAAAAUACAAACUUUUCCACCUUAAAUUACAUAAAUUUCAAAUGGGUAACCUAAAAUUAAAAACCCAUAAACUGAAAAAUAGAUAAAACCCACAACCUUUGCUGCAGCGAUAUCGCAGUGAUCGUCGCAAGCUCUUACAAUUCCUCUUUUCGUCGGGUCUCGAAAGGGGCGAGGGAAAAUCAUUGUUUGGAAGAAAGAAUCCACGAGGAGGACAAGAGAAGACUAGAGAGAGUGAUUUGGAGGAAGAGAGGAAGGAGAGGGAGAGAGAGAGAGACUGAGGAAGCAGAGAGGAAGCCGCGGCGGGGAGAGAGACUUUGAGAUCUGAAAAUGAAAUGGGAAUGGGACACUGACGACUAGGGUUUUAAGCUUAAGAAAUUUUAUAAACCAUUCAAUAUAAGAAACCUAUAAAUAAUAUACUAGUACAAUUAUAACAAUAGAAAGCCUACAGUCAAGUUGGCUGACAGUACCUAAACCCAACCUACAGGUCAGGGGUUCGAACCUUGAUGCUAACAUAUUUUUUAGUAUUUAUAUAUAUAUUUUUUUUCGGUUCGGUUUCUAGACCUCAAAAACCGAAACCGAACCAACCAGAUUCGGUUCGGUUCGGUUUGGCAGUUUCGGUUCGGUUUUUUUCGGCCUCGGUUCGGUUUGGUUUUCGGUUUUUUUCGGUUUUCGGUUAUUUGAACCCACCCCUACCACCAAUCCCCCUAUAAUCCAAAACAACACUUCUCUCCGUGCUUGGCAAUUGCAGCCAAUCCAUCCCCCUAUAAUUCGUGCAGGUCCUAUUUCCCCAUCCCCUAUAAUUUUAUUCCACAAAUUCGUGCACCCACCCUCCCAAAGACCUGCAGGUCCUGCACUGCACCCACCCUAAACCGGAACCCAUCCAACCUGAAACCCUCCCAAAAACCUGCACCCAUCCUAAUCCGAAACCCACAGUCCUCAAACCCUCACACAUUCGACAAAAUGCUCAGAAAUCAAGUUAAUCAACAUGAAAUUUGACCCUAAACCCUAAAGAAAAGCCCAGCUUACCUGGAUUUUGGGUCUCGAUUCGUGUCAGAUUCGCAUCUUCCUGCGUCUGUGUGUGUGGCCGGAUGAGCGUCGUUGAAGUGAACGGAGGAGCGGCGUUCAAACUGGACGGGCUUGACGGAGGACGGGAGGAGCGCUGGAGCGCCGUUUGACCUUUGUUCUUCGAGAGAGAGUGAGUGAGCGAUUGAGAGAGAGAGAGGGACCUAACUUACAAUGGUCAUUAGGAUUUAAUCUUAACCAAUCUUACGGUGCAAGUAAUUUCUAAUUAUAAAUUAAAAAUAUAUAUAUUUAUAUAUAUAAUAUUUGGUUCGGUUCGGAAUGACUGAACAGUUUCAAAGAUGAGGCUGAAUCCCAAACCAAAACAUUUCGGUUUCGGGUACCGAAUAUUUCGGGAAAUUUUCGAUCAAAAUUUGGGAAGGAUUAGGGACGGUUUGGGAUUUUCAAGAAAAAAUUCCAUUCCUAUAAAUUUGAAUCACUAUUCUUAUCUCUGUAAUUUAGAUGAGUUUAUUAUAAAUUAUCUUAUAUUUUGUUAAAAAAUCCAUUUCAUAAAUAAGUAGAUGUGAUAUGCUUAAAUGCAAAUCUGUAACAAAAGCAAUGGAAAAGAAUAAGUACAAAAACGGAAUCGUUGCCUUUUAUCUCUAGGUAAAAUAGAGCACCAAGAUGGUCAUCAAAGAGGUUUUGAUUACGACUGCCCACUUCACCUUCUACGAAUUCAACAUCAAGGACAAUCAAUGGGUUCGUUUCCCGAAUCGUAACUUCCAGUUCUCCAUUUGGUUGCCCACAGAAAAAAAACCACAAUUAAAUCUUCAAACAACGGAAAUUUGAAGCAUAAAGUGAGAACAAAUAGGUCGAAAUGUGACACAGAUGUUAGUAAACUUUAUGGUCUUCAAUCUUGAUAAUUUAUGCACACAUUGGAAUCCAGACUUCACAUAUUCGCUUAUAUUUGUUGAUCUCUUGGCACAUCUAUACUAAAUUGUUUGGUAUUAGUCAUUUUUUUAAUUCAUAUUUCAAUUUUGUAAGUAGAAAAGGUAUAUUUGUAAAUGAAGAUAUCAAAAUAAAAUAAAAAUUUGUAAUUGCGCCAAGCACAUGUAAUUAUAAAUUUGUAAGUCACGCGUAGCACGCCUGAUUAAAGAUCUCUAAUCAAUGUACCAUUGUUAGCACACUUGAUUAAAGGCCUCUAAUCCAUGUACCAAUUGUUAACAAUGAUAAAUAACUAACGCAACACAUUUUAGGGGCGGGUAGCGCUUGUGAUUAAAAAAAUGCCUAACGUGCAUGCAAAGAGGCUAGUUUAGAGUAAAUAAAGAAGAUUGUAAAUAUGCAAAUGCGGGAUAAGUUAAGUGUGGAUAUGGGGUAGGCUAGACUCAAAAUUGAAGCAGACGGACCAGACCCAUUUGUAAAUGAAAUGUUGCAGGGUAGGGCGGGUCUUGUUAGUUGAGAAAUGAAACCAGACUUAACCUGACUCGUUUGAACGAACCGGUUCCUACAAGUUCAUGGGUCCUUUUUUAUAUAUAUAAUGUUUGUUAAUAAGUUAUGACAGUUGUGCUUGAAGUAAAAGCUGGUGUGCUUGAACAAAAUAGCUGUUGUGCUCCAAGUCAAAGCACAAUAAAUUAUAAUGGAGUAGCUUACCAUCACUUUUCAAUUUUCACAAACAGCAAGUUAGGCUAUCUCCAACCGAGGGCUGGUCAGAUGGCUCGUUUUAGCCAUCUGACCCUCAAAGAUAUUAAGGUCAUCUCCAACCGAAGGUUGGCCAGUAGGCUCAUUUUAGCCCUCUGGCUUUCCAAGAUAUUAAUAUUUUAAUGAAUAGUACAAGGCCAUAUUUGCAUCAAUCUCCAACUGAGGGCCAAAGGCCCGGAGGGCUCAUUUUAGCCCUAUCACAAAAAACUUAGCCCUUGGUUGGAGACGGAUUUCGGGCUAUUUUUGGCCCUCUGGACAGGCCAUCUCCAACCAAGGGCUGGCCAGAGGGCUCGUUUUAGCCCUAUGGCCCUCCAAGAUAUUAAUAUUUUAAUGAACAGUACAGAGUUAUAUUUACCUUCAUCUCCAACCGAGGGCUAAAGGGCCAUAGGACUCGUUUUAGCCAUAUCACGAAAAAUCGUCUCCAACCGAAAGCGGUCGGAAGAGGCAGAAACGCCUCUGUGAGUCUUUCUAACCCCUGAAUGGGUGGAUAUGGCUAAGCCAUUAGCUAGUCUCCUUUUUAAUAAGAUAAAAAUAUAUAUAUACACACACACACACAUUUGCUACACCAACUAGUAUAGGUAAGUCCACAUUAGGCUAGGUUACAAAAUUUAAACUUAAAAGCCGCAGACUUGGGUGGCUAGAGCAAUGUGGUUCGAAUCCUUGUUUUCAUAUCCAUAAUUUAGCUAAAUUUAGUGUGGAUCAUCUUAUCGUUUUUUCAUAAAUCCCGUGUAACGAAUAAUUCAAUGUGAUAUGUUUAAAUGCAAAACUUGAGCGAAACACAGUGAAAUGAUUAGAAACUAUCUCCACCACAUAUCUGUACCAAAAACAAUGGAAAAGAACAAGUACAAAUGUUUACAUGAGAGAAGUUGUAAGGACUUGGAUUGUGAGGGUCAUCUCCACUUUGAAAGUAAUAGCUGAAAGUUGGAGGUUCAUGCAGAUUAAACCAUUCGCCAUUGAUGAACACCUCAAAAGAGCGAAACCAGCCCUGCUGAAACUUUUAAGUACAAAAUUAAAAAAUAAACAGUUCAAAGAUCCGACUUUGAUUUGCAUCAAUGAAAGUUGCAACGAAUGCGAACUAUAUUGCCUCAAUCUUUUCAAUUCAUAUUCUUUGCACACCUCUUCUUCAGAGAAGAACAAACUUUUUGGUGAUAGAUGGCGGGAAAUCCUCUUCUGGCAGGAAUGCAAGACAAUCGAUGAUGCAUAGCUGAGCUGAGGUCCUUCUCCGGGCAGGAAUUCCGAGAGUGCGUGGUGUUUUGAUCCACAGAUUUCAAACUUGAUCGUCCAGACGGUGUGAGUGGAAGAGAGCCGCUGUUGUUUGAGCAAUGUCUCCAACAGAUCCUCACGUCCCCUGAUCUGAAAUUCUCCAAGGGAGACAUAGCACAGCUCGAUUCCACUGUUAAAAAAUACCCGAUAUUAUAAAUGCAAAUAUAGACAAGGCAAAAUGAAAAAAGCAAAAGAAAAGGAAGGUAAAUUACAAUUUACAAAUCAUCAGUGUUAAACCGAGAAUCGAUAUUUAUCCUUCUGGUGAAAUCUGUAGCGGAACAACCAGCCUCCUUGUCAGCCUCCUUGUAUGGUAACGCAAUGUACUGGCAUUCAUCCAAACACAGUUAAGUGGUGCUAAAUACAGAUUAGUGUCAAAUUAACUUUGAAGACAAUCAAUUCUGUUGGAAAAUUUGAGGACAAUCAAUUUAACAUAACUACAGAUAAGUGGUACUAAAUACGUACCAGGCUUUGUCUUGAGAGUUGAGAGUUAGAGUGAAAUGAAGGCUCAUAUGGUGAUUUCAUCAUCUAUCCUUAUGCAAGGAAUACGAGAUAUGUUUCUCCAAUCUUUUCCCUUCUUGUUCCGAUACAUCUUCUUCAGGAAGGACAACCCCAGAUGCUGAGAUGAGAAAGAGAUGCUGGCAAACCCUCUUUCGGCAAGAAUUCAAGACUCUCGCAGCUCAAAAAUUCGUAGCUGUUGAAGAGAAGUGAGGUGCUCAAGUCCCUUUCCGUCCAAAGAUUUCAGAUUCCAUACAUAAGAGAUCCAGAGAGUGGGGAGAGUGGCAAGGAGCAGGUGUUCAUUGAGCAACGUCUCCAGCAGAUCCUUGUUUCCUUCGAUCUGAAAUUAAUUGGCUCCUGUAGGAAGAUUUAGUAUUAACCACCCACCAUAAAAUGAACUUAAAGGUAGUCAUUACAGAACAAAGCACACUAUGGUUCAUGAGCAAACUUAAAAGUAAUCAUUACAACUUAUGACUAUUACUAAGUUAAAGUUUUUUAGGGUGUCAAAGAUUCGCCUCAUCAAAAUCUUGUGGGAGAUUUCAACCCAGUUGAAGAAAAAAGAGUACCACACACCAACAAACUACAAGUUAUGACUAUCUAGCUUGUAUUAAUUAAAACAUCCAAAAUAAUGUCCAGGGGAGUCUUCAAACUAUAGCAACUCUUGAUAUCAUGCAAGUCUAUGUGCAACAUUUUUUGGCCUCUCGUCUCACAUAAUAUUGGACCAAACGCAGAAUAAUCCUUCUUCUUUUGCUACAGUCCCGCCAAAGAUAGAGUGGAAUUACUCUCCACUUCCACAGCUGCAGCCGCCAUCGGCAGCCAACGACGCAGUGUUCUGGCCUAAAACGUAUGUGGUAGAGAAAAAUGAAACCCUACGCGAGCACUUGCUGCAAUGCAGCAACAAAGUGUGGCUGCAUACGAAUCAGAAAAACAAAUACUAUAUAUUAAGAGAAACAAUGAAUGGACCCCUUAGCGACUGUGAAAUCCUGCUAUGUGCGAUAAUGUACAUGACGCACUUCCACGGUUGAGUUGCUACUUACCAAGAAGGUUUCUAAAUUUGAGAGUCCAUUGCUCCAACUUUCACCUUCAAACUUGGGUUAAGGCGUAUCAUCGUCAAUUUCUCCAGGGCAUCUUCCUCUAGAGCGGUUAACGAAUCAAAUGAUUGCCUGCAUAUAAAGUAAGCAAAUCUGCAAUGUUCAAAAAAAAUUUGCUUCGUUUGUUAACUUGCUAUGCGAGUCACACGACAUCACACACGCUAAUAUAAAGAAAACAUUGCAUAUUCUCUUGAUUGCUCAUGAAAUCCACAGUCGUGAGAAGAAUGCUAUAACCUCUCAGUUCCCUUGAUCACUACCAGGAGAUAAGGUGUUCAUUGGCGGCAACAAUAGGCACAAUUUUGUUUAAGGUAUGUGAUAUAUAUAUAUAUAUAUAUAUAUAUAUAUAUAUAUAUAUAUACACACAUAUAUAUAUAUGUAUGUAUGUAUAUUCUUCUUUAAGGAGAGUAUGUGGAUGCAGAGUUUUGAUGAAAAUGUAGGAAAAGAACGCAGAGCUCUACCUUCACACGCUUUCUACCGUUUCAUUAUAAAUCGAACUGUGAAAAGCAUGUUUUCUCUCAAAUCCAUUUCAAUAGAAUGCCAACUCAACCACUUUCCUUUUUCAUACCUCAGCUUAACAAGAUACUCCUAAAUUCAAAGAUGAAGAAAUUAUUAUUGAUACAUUUAUCUUAGAAAACAAGCGAAUGGAACUUAAAGCAAAAGUGAGUGGUGGAACGCUCAAUUACCGCUCAUCCGCAGAGCUCAACAUAAGAAUUAUCAUUCUUGUGAAAUCCAUUGCACACCAGCCAACCACUUAUUCAAGUAAUAUCAUUUACUGGAAUACCAACAAACACAAGCAUGACGACACUGCUACAAGGAACAAGCGCUCUGUUCGACCACUUUGUCUGUAAAAAAGCACAUCUGCACCCAUUCGAAGAUAAGAAUGACAUCAAGAGAAGAUGAAAAGGCAUGUCUCCCAUACUCAAACUAUAAACAGUAUUAGAAGAAAAAAACAUCAUUCCAGGGAUUACCUCGCCGAUUAAAGGAGAAUUAUAUUCAUGCCAGAUAACUGGAGCUAGCACCAUUCAAGGACAACCAAUUGAUGCAUGUUUAAAUCGUUGGCUGUAGAUAAUCCUAUCUUUACAAGUCCAGAGUUGCUAGCUGCAUCAAUAAAGCCGACAAAUACGUUAGUCCCAUUGUGUUGUCCUGACUGAUUGCAUAGUUGAUUUACAUUGAUACAUAAAGGACGGACAAAUUACACUCAAGUGUUCAACUACUUACACUGAAAUCUUUAGGCGCAGCAGCCAGCCACCAAGUCUAGUUACAUUGGCAUUCUAGCAAGCGGUGCCAAUAAGCCAUACUCUCUCCAACCGUUGUGUUUGUAGAGAAAGAGAAACAUAUGUAUACGAACCUACCACAAGAUGACAGAGGCACUGAAAGAUGAGUAAGCAUUCUGCCGUAUGGAAACCACAGAAGUAUAUAUAUUAUACACAAGCACCUGAGUGGUUGAUGUAAUCUAUCAUUUUCCCUCUGAUAAUCCUACCUUUACAGUUCAAUAGUUUUGUCUCUGGACCGACGAAGUCCCACAUACGUUCAGUCUCUAUAUAGCUGUUCAAGCGAGCUGAGGUCUCGAGGUCCCCGUCCUGGAAGGAAUUGCGGGAGUGGGAGGCGUUGAAUUGAAAGUCCAUUUUGUAACGCCCCGAUCCCGAUAUACGUUCACGAUCGACACGUGACGUCACCAAAUACCUGUAUCUCAACAUACCCCGCUUCCAGGAUAUGGCAAAUCACAACUCGAGAAUCGAAUCGCAUAGUAAUUUUUUUGUAUACUUUAUGGCUGCAUCUAACAUCCUCGUUAGACUGCAUACGUAUCCUCAAUAGGGAUCAAGCCAUUUGUAGUUCAUCUUUCACUGCACUUGAACAAUCAUCGUUUAAAUCUCUAUGUCUCAACAUAAUACCACGAUUCAGAUAUGCAACAUAUCAAGGAAUAUUCGACGAAGCACAAUAAUAUUCUCUAGUCAUCUUAUCAUUUCCACACACAUAAGCUUUCAAACCCCAUUCAAUAAUCACAGCAAUCAAUAACACAUACAAUACAUCAAAAUGCAGGGUUAAAGCGACACCGUUCGGCUGAAGCCUACAUCUCUGAAGUUGAAAUCAAAUCCAAUGAACCAACAAGUCAAAUACUACGAUUUCGGACCACUCAACGAAGUCCAUCAACAUCGGGUUUCGGACCACUUAACGAACUCGCGGAGUAUAAGGGAUUUUGAACCAUCACUCAACGAAGUCCAUCAACAUCGGGUUUCGGACCACUCAACGAACUCGCGGAGUAGAAGGGAUUCUGAACCAUCACUCAACGGAAUCCAAGUGGAUACGAUUCCAGACCAUCACUCAAUGAAAUCGCGAAGUAGAAGGGAUUCCGGACCAUCACUCAACGGAAUCCAAGUGGAUACGAUUCCAGACCAUUACUCAAUGAAAUCGCAAAGUAGAAGGGAUUCCCGACCAUCACUCAACGGAAUCCAAGUGGAUUCAAUUUCGGACCAUCACCCAACGGAAUUGCAGAGUAGAAAGGAUUCCGGACCAUCACUCAACGGAAUCCAAGUGGAUACGAUUCCGGACCAUCACUUAAUGGAAUCCAAGUGGAUACGAUUAUGAACCAUCACUCAAUGGAAUUGCGAAGUAGAAGGGAUUCCGGACCAUCACUCAACGGAAUCAAAGUGGAUAUGAUUAUGGACCAUCACUCAAUGGAAUCGCAAAGUAGAAGGGAUUCCGGACCAUCACUCAAUGGAAUCCAAGUGGAUACGAUUCCAGACCAUCACUCAACGGAAUCACAGAGUAGAAGAGAUUCCAGACCAUUACUCAACGGAAUCCAAGUGGAUACGAGUCCAGACCAUCACUCAACGGAAUCACAAAGUAUAAGGGAUUCUGGACCAUCACUCAACGGAACCCCAGCGGAACCUAGUUCGGGACACUUAAUGAAACCGAGCGGAAGUCCAAAGAACAUAUCAACGACUCAAAGAAACAAGACAUGAAUCAAGUUACUCAAGUUACAAAGGCUCAACGAAAUGAAACAAAGCACAAGUAUUAAAUGUAGAACGGCUCAACGAAACGAGAAAUGAAAUAAUGAACCGAGGGGUGAGACAUGUAUCGAAGCAACAAACCCCAUGACGAUGGGUUAACAGUCCACUACUAACCUUCACAUUUCAUCACAUCAAUCCAAUUAUACAAAACAAACCAUAUUUCCAAUAUGCACGUCAAAUCACAAUUAAUAAACAUAGAUCGAUGCUAAAAAUAAAAAUAACACUUCAAUAGAAAGCACAUUUAAUAAACAAGUAUAACUCAAUAUGGUGCCACCAAUACAUAUAUCGAGACAUGUUAACCGAGAACAACACGUCAUCGUGAUAAGCCAACUAAGUUCCAUCACGCCUCAACAACAAACUAGAGAUAAACGACACUCUAGAGUAUAGCAUGUUGACUAGAACGUCAACCGUCGAUAAGGUAAGUCCAUUAAGAUCAACAAUCUAAGGUUAUUCAAUCCGGAAGAUCCGCACAUCGGAUUUCCAAUCCGUAAGUUCUCAAAGGUCCAACAACUGAUAACUAGGGUGCUUACAAAAUUGUACGACGAUCCAACGAUCGAAUUGUCGUCAAUACAAACAAGUGGUGGUCCAAUUUGAUCACCACACCAAACAAUUGAAUUUCAGGAAACCGAGCUAGACGUAGGUUCAUAGGGUCACUAGAAGGUAUUUGGUACUUAGACAACACUCGUGGACUGUCCCACGCACCUCUACAC